AACGAACGCUGGCGGCAUGCCUAACACAUGCAAGUCGAACGAGACCUUCGGGUCUAGUGGCGCACGGGUGCGUAACGCGUGGGAACCUGCCCUUAGGUUCGGAAUAACUCCCCGAAAGGGGUGCUAAUACCGGAUAAUGUCUUCGGACCAAAGAUUUAUCGCCUUUGGAUGGGCCCGCGUCGGAUUAGCUAGUUGGUAGGGUAAAAGCCUACCAAGGCGACGAUCCAUAGCUGGUCUGAGAGGAUGAUCAGCCACACUGGGACUGAGACACGGCCCAGACUCCUACGGGAGGCAGCAGUGGGGAAUAUUGGACAAUGGGCGAAAGCCUGAUCAAGCAAUGCCGCGUGAGUGAUGAAGGCCUUAGGGUUGUAAAGCUCUUUUACCCGGGAUGAUAAUGACAGUACCGGGAGAAUAAGCUCCGGCUAACUCCGUG
rnacentral:rRNA from 1 species